UAGGGAAUCUUCCGCAAUGGACGAAAGUCUGACGGAGCAACGCCGCGUGAGUGAAGAAGGAUUUCGGUUCGUAAAACUCUGUUGUUAGGGAAGAAAAAAUGUAUAGUAACUAUAUACAAAAGAGACGGUACCUAACCAGAAAGCCACGGCUAACUACGUGCCAGCAGCCGCGGUAAUACGUAGGUGGCAAGCGUUGUCCGGAAUUAUUGGGCGUAAAGCGCGCGCAGGUGGUUUAGAAAGUCUGAUGUGAAAGCCCACGGCUCAACCGUGGAGGGUCAUUGGAAACUAAUAAACUUGAGUGCAGGAGAGAAAAGUGGAAUUCCUAGUGUAGCGGUGAAAUGCGAAGAGAUUAGGAGGAACACCGGUGGCGAAAGCGGCUUUUUGGCCUGCAACUGACACUGAGGCGCGAAAGCGUGGGGAGCAAACAGG
rnacentral:rRNA from 1 species